GAUGAACGCUGGCGGUCUGCUUAACACAUGCAAGUCGAACGGAAGUAGCAACACUUUAGUGGCGGACGGGUGAGUAACACGUAAGAAUCUGCCUCCAGGACGGGAAAAACAGUUGGACACGACUGCUAAUUCCGGAUGAGCCGAAAGGUAAAAAGAAAUUCGCCUGGAGAUGAGCUUGCGGCUGAUUAGCUAGUUGGUAGGGUAAGAGCCUACCAAGGCGACGAUCAGUAGCUGGUCUGAGAGGAUGAGCAGCCACACUGGGACUGAGACACGGCCCAGACUCCUACGGGAGGCAGCAGUGGGGAAUUUUCCGCAAUGGGCGAAAGCCUGACGGAGCAAGACCGCGUGGGGGAGGAAGGUUCUUGGAUUGUCAACCCCUUUUCUCAGGGAAGAAGAUCUGACGGUACCUGAGGAAUCAGCACCGGCUAACUCCGUGCCAGCCGCCGCAGUAAUAC
rnacentral:rRNA from 1 species